rnacentral:rRNA from 1 species
CCUACGGGAGGCAGCAGUGGGGAAUAUUGGACAAUGGGCGAAAGCCUGAUCCAGCAAUGCCGCGUGAGUGAUGAAGGCCUUAGGGUUGUAAAGCUCUUUUACCAGGGAUGAUAAUGACAGUACCUGGAGAAUAAGCUCCGGCUAACUCCGUGCCAGCAGCCGCGGUAAUACGGAGGGAGCUAGCGUUGUUCGGAAUUACUGGGCGUAAAGCGUACGUAGGCGGUUAUUCAAGUCAGAGGUGAAAGCCCGGGGCUCAACCCCGGAACUGCCUUUGAAACUAGAUAGCUAGAAUCUUGGAGAGGUUAGUGGAAUUCCGAGUGUAGAGGUGAAAUUCGUAGAUAUUCGGAAGAACACCAGUGGCGAAGGCGACUAACUGGACAAGUAUUGACGCUGAGGUACGAAAGCGUGGGGAGCAAACAGGAUUAGAUACCCUGGUAGUCCACGCCGUAAACGAUGAUAACUAGUUGUUCGGGCACUUGGUGCCUGAGUGACGCAGCUAACGCAUUAAGUUAUCCGCCUGGGGAUACGGUCGCAAGNUUAAAACUCAAAGGAAUUGACGG